GGGUCAAUUGCUGAGUCAUAUGGUAAGCCUGUGUUUAACUUUUUGAGAAACUGCCAAAUUGUUUUCCAAAAUGGCUACACAGUUAUAUAUUCUCAUUGGUAAU
rnacentral:pre_miRNA from 1 species